UAACAAAGGGAAAAAUGUCAUUAAAAUCCUGAACUUUGCUAAAACGUUGAUUUAAAUCCCGUACUUUAUUUGAAACGAAAAAAACAUCGAACUUUUGUUGACUUUUCUAAUAAAUCUUAAACUUGUGUUGACCGCGCCAUUUUAGUCUUGUCGUUAUCUGGGUUAACAGACUUAAUUGACAGGGUUAAUUAGACGUUAACAGAGACAUAAUUUGCAAACGACACAGUUUCGGUUUUAGUAAACGACGUCGUUUUAUCAAAAAGACUGAACUUCCCCAAUUCGAUUUGAAAAAUCACGAGCCCUAAAAAACAAAAAUUCUCAAUUCUCUUUUGUCGAUCGAGGAAGAGAAAUUCGAAACUGUAAUGAUGAGAAAGAAGCUGCCUGCUGAUGUCGACCCGCCUCCUCCUGUUGUUGAGCCGCCUCAUGUUGUUGUCGAGCCUCCGUCUGCUUCUAUCGAGCCUCCGUCUGCUUCCAUAGAGCCUCCGUCUGUUGCUAUCGAGCCUCCGUCUGUUGCUGAGCUAUGACGUGCUUCUGUCGAGGCUCCUGCUGUUCACGAGCCUUCUACUAGGCCGUCUCAUUCUGUCGUUGACAAUAGGAGAAGAAAAAAAUCGAAACAGAAUGGUAACAGGUUAGAUGGUGACAAUAGAAGGAAAAAAUCGAAAAGGAGUAGAAGGAUGGAGAUCAUGGUUUGAGUGUUCAAACUUGACAUGAGAACAUCGAUUGGUCUUUGGUUGUUGGUAUUUGGAUUGUUUCAUAACUUGAGAUGUCUCUUUUGUUGUCUCUUUUGUUGUUUGAUUUUUGGUUCGGCAAGUUUUAAGACAUGUUGGUUAACUACUUUUAAUCACUCAUAGUUUUAAGACAAGUUUUUGUUUGAGUGAAAUUAUUCCAUCUCUUUACUCCGAUUCUCAUAUCAAGACCAAACACUCACACCGACCAAACACUCACACCUUAUAUCAAGACCAAACACUCACAUUCACCCAAGAAAAAUAAAGACCAAACACUCACAAGUUUUAUUAAGACAGCAACAAAGCCAACAUUACAAAGUCAUAAAAGUCACAAAUACUACAUUGUCAUUACAAGCUUGCCGAAGACAACAAGAUAGAUAGACCUACACUAUUAAGCAACAACAAAUUCAUUUUUUUU
rnacentral:sRNA from 1 species